AACGUAGGAGACAAACGUUAUCCGGAGUUACUGGGCGUAAAGGGCGUGUAGGUGGUAGAGUAAGUCUGGCGUGAAAUUUUUCGGCUUAACCGGGAAAGGUCGUCGGAUACUGCUUAACUAGAGGACGGUAGAGGCGUGUGGAAUUCCGGGUGUAGUGGUGAAAUGCGUAGAUAUCAGGAGGAACACCGGUGGUGUAGACGGCUUUCUGGACCGUAACUGACGCUGAGACACGAAAGCGUGGGUAGCAAACAGG
rnacentral:rRNA from 1 species